UUACUUAGAUAUCAAUAUUUAUUCUACCUGUAAAUUUAGUCUCAGCCAAUUAACUGAAUCAUUGGCAAUUUUUUUUCUUUUUUUUUUGCAGAAAGUAAGAGCAGUCCUAAAAUCACAAAGUCAACUCAAACACAAGACUCAUCAUUUUGGGGGAUAAUAAGGAAAAGACUCAAAAGUUCUGCCUCUUCCUGCCCACCCUGUAGGAAGAACCCCGCAGGAAGGAAGGUGAAGGCGAUGACCGCUGUGCCUCUUCCGUAGGGAGCUCAGACUGGGAAACAAGACUUGAAACCAAAGAGUCAACUCUAAAGUCAAACAUUACUGAAG
rnacentral:lncRNA from 1 species